rnacentral:rRNA from 1 species
CGGACGGGUGAGUAACGCGUGGGUAACCUACCCUGUACAGGGGGAUAACAGUCAGAAAUGACUGCUAAUACCGCAUAAGACCACAGCACCGCAUGGUGCAGGGGUAAAAACUACCGGUGGUACAGGAUGGACCCGCGUCUGAUUAGCUGGUUGGUGAGGUAACGGCUCACCAAGGCGACGAUCAGUAGCCGGCUUGAGAGAGUGAACGGCCACAUUGGGACUGAGACACGGCCCAAACUCCUACGGGAGGCAGCAUG